rnacentral:rRNA from 1 species
UUUCGAAUCAUUCACAAUGGGCGAAAGCCUGAUGGUGCGACGCCGCGUGAGGGAUGAAGGUCUUCGGAUUGUAAACCUCUGUCACCGGGGAAGAAACGCUUCAAGUUAACAGCUUGAAGCCUGACUUAACCCGGAGAGGAAGCAGUGGCUAACUCUGUGCCAGCAGCCGCGGUAAUACAGAGACUGCAAGCGUUAUUCGGAUUCACUGGGCGUAAAGGGUGCGCAGGUGGCCAAGUGUGUUAGGCGUGAAAGCCCGGGGCUUAACCCCGGAAUUGCACCUAAAACUACUUGGCUAGAGCAUUGGAGAGGGGAGCAGAAUUCAUGGUGUAGCAGUGAAAUGCGUAGAUAUCAUGAGGAAUACCAGAGGCGAAGGCGGCUCCCUGGACAAUUGCUGACACUCAGGCACGAAAGCGUGGGGAGCAAAAGG